rnacentral:rRNA from 1 species
AUACGUAGGGGGCGAGCGUUGUCCGGAAUGAUUGGGCGUAAAGGGCGCGUAGGCGGCCCGGUAAGUCUGGAGUGAAAGCCCCCGGCUUAACCGGGGAGGGUCAUUGGAAACUGGGAGGCUUGAGUGCAGAAGAGGAGAGUGGAAUUCCAUGUGUAGCGGUGAAAUGCGUAGAUAUAUGGAGGAACACCAGUGGCGAAGGCGACUCUCUGGUCUGUAACUGACGCUGAGGCUCGAAAGCGUGGGGAGCAAACAGGAUUAGAUACCCUGGUAGUCCACGCCGUAAACGAUGAGUGCUAAGUGUUGGAGGGUUUCCGCCCUUCAGUGCUGCAGCUAACGCAUUAAGCACUCCGCCUGGGGAGUACGGCCGCAAGGCUGAAACUCAAAGGAAUUGACGGGG